CGAGGGCGGAGGCUACAAUCCAGAACAAAACACACACAGCCCCCUCCUAGUGCAUACGAUGGCGAAAGUGUAUAAUGAAAGCUUGUCUUGUUGUGCAAAUAAUUGCAUUGCACACCGUAUCAUAGCUGUCAUCAGUUUCCGCUAGUGAAUAAGGCUGACGAUUCGAUGACCCCUGCUUGCUGCUGCUGCAUUUGUGUAGGCGAAGUGGGUUUGGUUCCGGCCGUGCGGCAUGUACCAGACAGGUUCUAUUCUCGUCGCACACCCCAUCACUGGACACCGGAAAACGACGAAGAGCAAGACUGGCAACCGCCAUCCCCAUCCCCUGAACGAGUUCGACGAAGACUGGAACCUUGGAUUCAUGACCAAGCAUAACAAUUACUUCGUUGGGUUCGACGACGAUGAAAAGUCAUUUCAAUGCGGUUGACGGGAUUUCCACCUGCUUGUGAGGAACUGCUGCAUGAGGGAGAUUGGUACCCUAAAACGAAAUGAAAAGAGAAGCUACUUGAAACCCUAAAAUGAAAAAACAAGGAUAGAGACCCUUGUGACCAGGAAAACGAGAGAUUUUCCAUCGCAUUUGAAAAAUUCCAAGUCUGCCUCACUUUGGAUUUUGGUCUUUCCCAA